ACGCUAAUUUUAUUGCUCACAAAAAUUUUCUCUUUCUACAAAUGAUUCCCACACCAACAAUCCUAUCAUCACUUAUAUGAGACCCCAUCAUAUCAAACUUAACAAAAUCCAUGGAUGGAGGAUCUGCCAUGGCCUAGCUUUUGUAAGCCAACAGGGCUUGAGAACAUGACAACCACCUUAAACAAAGAUUGAUGUCUAACUUCGUGCGCUAACUACAAAUUAGUAACCACAAAUCGGAUUG
rnacentral:lncRNA from 1 species